rnacentral:rRNA from 1 species
UGGGGAAUAUUGGACAAUGGGGGCAACCCUGAUCCAGCAAUGCCGCGUGAGUGAUGAAGGCCUUAGGGUUGUAAAGCUCUUUUGCCAGGGACGAUGAUGACGGUACCUGGAGAAUAAGCCCCGGCUAACUUCGUGCCAGCAGCCGCGGUAAUACGAAGGGGGCGAGCGUUGUUCGGAAUUACUGGGCGUAAAGGGCGCGUAGGCGGCUUUUUAAGUUUGUUGUGAAAUCUCCCGGCUCAACUGGGAGGGUGCGGCGAAUACUGAGAAGCUAGAGUGUGGGAGAGGAAAGUGGAAUUCCUGGUGUAGCGGUGAAAUGCGUAGAUAUCAGGAGGAACACCGGUGGUGUAAACGGCUUUCUGGACCAUAACUGACGCUGAGGCACGAAAGCGUGGGUAGCAAACAGGAUUAGAUACCCUGGUAGUCCACGCCCUAAACGAUGCUCACUAGGUGUUGGGGAAGCGAUUCCUUGGUACCGUAGCUAACGCGUGAAGUGAGCCGCCUGGGGAGUACGGCCGCAAGGUUA